rnacentral:pre_miRNA from 1 species
GUUAGGAAGAGGAAGAAAAUGAACAUCUAGGACCACUGGGCAUGGGAACAUGGAGAAAGGCCUAAACUAAUGAGUCCAACUACAACUAGGGUCAGAAUUUUCCUGAUGCCUCUCAUGCCUAUUGUUCUUAGGUGCUCCUUCCUCUCCCUUAUGAUC